UUUUUUUUCUUCUUUUUAAUUCAUAAUUUAUAAUAAUGUAUUCUUCGUUUAUAACUUAUAAAAGCAUAAAUAAUAACAAUUAAAAAAUUUUUUUAACGUCAAUUUUUUGAUUGGAUAUAUAUAUAUAUUAAUUGUUAGUAACGGAUAAACAUGACGGUAGCCCAUUUAAUUACGCUUUGGUGAAAGGCAUGCAACUACUACUUAAAAGUCUAUGCAACAUUGUUGAUGUUAAAUAAAUGCUGUUCAAAAGGAUUUCUUGAGUUAUUUCACUACCUACUUUCGUAAUUCUAUAAAAAUACAUGAGAAACUCGAUUAUUUGAUCACAUUUAGAUAUCUAUUUAGAUAUCAUUGAUUCGAAUAGUAAUUUUUAUUUUAAAAAAAUUAAAUUCAAUAAAUUAUAUAAUACAACAUUAAGAAAUUCUUUUUUAAAAUUUUUAAAUUUUAAAGUCUCGAAUUCUGAAAUGACUUAUUUAUGGAUUAUCUAUAUAUAUAUUUUUUUUUAUAUAUCUUUCGUAAUAAAAAACAAAUCAAUGAUAAUAAUUUUGAUAAGUAAAGACAAGAAAAUAAAAAAAUAAAUAUCUUUUUCUUAUCUCUUUGUUUUCAAAGUUUAUCUUCACAUCUAAUUACGUACAAAAUAUAAAAUAAAUAAAUAAGAUAUAUACAAUUAAUGAAAGAUGAUAUAGUUUCGAAGAUAAGAAUGACAUCAUUUCACGGACCUUGUCCGUGAAUCCGAAUGAAACCGGGCUCCUGACCUCAUCCUACGCACCUGCCAGUGGCCCACAACCGAUGGAGACUGCGAUCAUCUCCGAAGUUUUACGACGACACACGAGAGCGCAAUCGAUACCGCGGAGGGGGAUCCGUCUCGCCGCACAGUUACGGUAUCUGUCGUACUCCGCCACGAAAAUUAAAGAUCCGUUUGUGUUACGUGCACAAAAAGAUGUUGUCCGUAACAAGAAUACGAGUUUCUUCGUAAAUAUUGUAGUUUCCUUUUGCUUAAAAAGACCGCGGUGCUGCCGCGAUGAUCAAAAGGGGGAGAGAAGACGAGGACAAAAAGGAGAACGAAACACAGCAUCAUAGGGGAGAGAGUCAAAGAAUUUUACUGGCGGCUUGCGCGCGUGCGUACGCGUACACAUACAGAGUUGAUGUUGGUUUGUUUUUCACCUCGCAUUGUGCGCAUCGUUCGUUACGUCUGGCAAUUAUCUGGCCGCAAGCUCGUACUGCUUUUAAUAUUUUUAAUCCGCGAAACUUGAAGCUGAACCAUGCAAAGUAACUUUACUGUAAUUUUAUUUAUUUAUUUUUUUAACAUAAGAGGAAAUUUUCCAUAAUAUCAAAUUUUAUCAAAAUCUCGAUAUAUUUCAUUGAUAUGAAAUAUAAAUGAUCGGUAAAUAAAAUUAAUUUAUUUUUAUAUUUAUUUCCGAAAAAAUUUUCUCUUUCUUAACAUUCAAUUAUUGGAAUGGUUUUAAUAUUUUGGACGGUUUUGGAAUAAUAGUCAAAAUGAUUCGAGAUGUUAUGUGACACCAUUGAAAGCAAUUUGUGGCAUUCGCAAGGACUACAAGCAAAGGACGGAAUUUCAAGACGCCUCCUGCCAGUAAAUCCGAUCGAUCAGUCCGCUCUGUUUAGCCUCCAACAACGCUGAAAUCUCCUCGACACUGUUCACUGAUGGAUUCAACUGAUCACAGUUCGUGAUAACCAGCAUUCUCGGCUUGUCUUUUCAUCCUAAAACGACUUCAAAAGUAAAAGUUGAAGAGAAAUGAAUAUUUCGAACUUCCAUAAGAUGUUGACAUUUUCGACAUAAUGAUGAUGUAAUGAUAAUCUAAUUAUAUAUUUAAAUUUUUAAAAAUUUGCAUUAAAUUUAAUGUUUGAUUGAUAAAAAAUUCCAAUCGAAAUGGAUUCUUUUCGUAUGAGUAAUAACAAGGUACUAAAAAUGGGCUCGUUUCAAGUGAAAUUUUCCAGAGAUACAAAUGGAAAAAGAUGGACGAGCAGGAAGCAAGAAAACGGAUCGCGGAUCAAGCGAAGGAAAGAGUAAAAGCAGGCAAAGCAAGCAGAGUCGUGGUUCCGGUAGAUCGGCGAUUCCAAGGUCAACGAGGCGAUAACUGUUGGUGCGCACGACGGGUUAUCUUUCUUAGAUCGACACGUCGAGAACGAGUGGAGAACGAGUCGAGAACGCGUCGAGAGGAUGGACAGCGUUUAUUAUGCGGGUGUUAUGCGCGUGUACACAGUGAGGCGGAGUUGGAAAUCAAUAACCCGUGUUAUAAGGUAUUUGGCCAUGCCGAGGAUAUCGAUUAUGUAGCAUGCUCAACGCACACAAAACCUGUUUCAAGAUUGUAAUAAAAACGUAUAGAUCAGAUUUUAAAGGAGAAAUUUGAAAAAAAGAGAUCUAUAAUUCUAUUCGUAAUCGAAAUUUCAUUAUUGAUCCAUCUGUUUUGAAUAAGGGUUAUUAUACAUAUUGAAAACGAUAUGCAAAGAAAUUGGAAAAUAAUGGAAUAACUAAAUAAAUUGAAUAUUCGAAUAAUAGACUAGAUGUUUAGUUUAAGCUAGAUAACAAUUAACGAAAAAGCAGAAUGAUCCAAUAUUUAUAUGCAUCUCGCUCAGCAAGAAUGUUAACUGGUCAUUGACUAAAUAAAAAUAAGAAAGAAAAA